rnacentral:lncRNA from 1 species
UGAUGAUCAGGGGACACGUACAGGCUUUAUUAGUAGUACUCUUGGUUGUUAUAGAAGAAGAAUUGUUGUUGUUAUAGAAGAGGAGGUUUUGUUAUAGAAGAGGAUGUGUUGUUAUAGAAGAGGUGGUGUUGUUAUAGAAGAGGCGUGUUGUUAUAGAAGAGGUGGUGUUGUUAUAGAAGAGGAGGUGUUGUUAUAGAAGAGGAUGUGUUGUUAUAGAAGAGGAGGUGUUGUUAUAGAAGAGGAGGUAUUGUUAUGGAAAAUGGAGUGUUGUUAUAGAAGAGGAGAUGUUGUUAUAGAAGAUGGUUGUUGUUAUUGUGUUCAUAAUGACUUUUCUGUAGACAAUGCAUGGCUCAGGUGAAGGCUACACACUAUUAGUGGAAGGGUUGAUUUCACUUGAGAAUAUAAAGAUGACAAAGCUGC